UCUCACAAAAUUUACCGAGAUUUUAUAUUCUCGGGAGUGGGUUUAAAUGUUGGAGCGUCCCCCAACAUCGUCUCUUCUAGGACAAACCCAUAAUCCGGAUUUAUCUCGUGAGUUGAAUUGGUUGAGAUUGCGAUGGCAAGAAGAUUCAUUUGUGCCAAGUUUACCCUCUUCUAGGGAUAAGAAUCAUUCGAACCUAAUGGUCUACCUCGCUUCUGGGCAGGGACUAUGACUGGUUAGCCGCCAUGGCCGUACCUCGUCCAACUAGGACGAUACGUCCUACGGGGACAUUUAUCCUUGCAGGUUUGCAGUAGGUAUAUUAUCUCGUCACUUUAACUAGAAGUAAAAUUCUUCGCACUUCAAUUUCACAUGUGCGGUUUGGGGAUCAAGAUGAGACAUUCUACACGUCGUUCAUCAGGAACGCUCACAUUCUUAUCUCCCCCUAACGGCAGGAAGAUUGUCUCAUCAAAGUGACGACCGCAAAUCUAGCGGUAUAGAGAUCUCCUGUCAAGGGCUCUAAAGAGCACAUAAUGGAUAGGGUUCAUAAUCGACAUAUAUGCCCAUCCUUUGUUGAGAACCCGAUUUUGUACGUUGUGGCGGCACAAUUGGCACGGAGACUGCAAACCCAAAUGCAUGUAAGUGCAAAAACAUCAGGUUCACACUCAGUCACCAACUCUAACACGAAGUAAGACGGGUAGCAGUGGGCCUCAACUGGACCGACAUGGCUGCAUGCAAGAUUGCAUAGCCCGACGCAAACAAUAGAAGCUUGGUGCGCAUUACCAAGGUUCUAUAUGCGAGACCAUCUUAGGUUUGAACAUAGGAAACUAUAUGUUUUACAAAACCCAAGGGAUAUGCAAUAAUCAUCGAAAACCUUCGAUGUAAACUCUCCGGCAUUAUCAAGUCUUAUAGACUUUAUGGGAUAAUCCGAGUGGUGUACCCUCUAUUUCAUAGGUGAGAGUUUAGCAAAGGCAUCAUUUUCUUGUGACAAUAGUGUGACA
rnacentral:lncRNA from 1 species